CUACGGGAUGCUGCAGUGGGGAAUAUUGCACAAUGGAGGAAACUCUGAUGCAGCAACGCCGCGUGGAGGAUGACACUUUUCGGAGCGUAAACUCCUUUUAUAUAGGAAGAAGAUGACGGUACUAUAUGAAUAAGCGCCGGCUAACUCCGUGCCGAGCAGCCGCGGUAGUACGGAGGGCGCAAGCGUUACUCGGAAUCACUGGGCGUAAAGAGCGUGUAGGCGGAUUAAAAAGUCAGAAGUGAAAUCCUAUAGCUUAACUAUAGAACUGCUUCUGAAACUCUUAAUCUAGAAUAUGGGAGAGGUAGAUGGAAUUUCUGGUGUAGGGGUAAAAUCCGUAGAGAUCAGAAGGAAUACCGAUUGCGAAGGCGAUCUACUAGAACAUUAUUGACGCUGAGACGCGAAAGCGUGGGGAGCAAACAGGAUUAGAUACCCUCGUAGUC
rnacentral:rRNA from 1 species